UAACCAAGGGGUAAAACGACGAAGAGGGGAAGGGCAUGCAAAUGUCCCAUUCAACACUCGGGUUUUUCGAGGAUUCUUCUCGGGCGUGAGAGAUGCACUUUGGGGCCUGAACGAUGCUUCUUGUGGAGGUUGCGCAAAAAGUGGCGAAGACGAGUCAAGGAUUCUAGCAAGUGGUGUGAAAAUUGGUGUCAUCGGUUCGCAUAUUAAAAUAUUUGGAAAUUCGACACCUCAAGGCCAAUUGGUGGUGGACAUUGCCACCUCCAACCUCCAAACACUCACUCUUUUGCCUUAGUCCGUGCCACUCUCCAGUCGACACAAAGAUGCACAAGAUGUGGAGCUUCUCCACCCUCCAAAGACCCACUCACGAGGAGAAGGAGCGGAAACGAAGAUUUCGGGAGGAACAGAAGCGACAAGCCCAAUCCAAGCCCGGCUUUCCAGUCUCGGCCACACUCAACCCGGCCAAGGGUAAGGUGGGUCGAGCCAAAACGUUCCGACAAGAGACCUCCAGGACCAAUGACCACAUCAUCGAGGCCCUGCGAUUUCGAGCCAAGAGUGCCACGCGAGCCCAACCAGACCAUUUCCAUCCACAACCAGACUUGAACGAUAAUUACUACGGAGCGAAACAUCAUCCGUCCCCACAACGAUCCCCAUUCACAUCUUCAGCAACUUUACCCAAUGCUCGUCUGAGAUUCUUGGAGCGAAAUGCCUACUUAAGCAAUGAGGAAUUGGUGGCCUCUUCGCUUCCCAACCAUCAUCAAUAUCGGAGCAGCAACCAUGGCUUGCUCCCAUCUUUGCCGCCGUCCUUUGAUCCAUCCCGAGCAUCAAAAUGGGAGAUUGAGCCCGGACACGUGACCUCGAAUACAAGUGGCUACUCGAGUGGGGGUGGGCCCAAUGAGCCAGGUAGUGCGUUGACGAUGGCCAAUGCCAACCUCAAUCCUAGUCCGAAACUGAGCCAUCAUUCCCAUCAAAUUCCACUCCGACAUCCUCGAAAUCAUGGCGGCGGCAUUGUGGGCAGAGGUGAUGAUCUCUUUGAUCUAUAUGCACAACCAAUGAAGAACAACUCAUCGACCCAAAGUGCAAGUGGAAUCAUGAAGAAUCCCAGUUGCGGUCCAACGACGAACGGAGAAAUGGUCUCCCGGCGCAAGAUACUUUCCCGAUCCAGGGACGACCUCAAUCUGGAUGUCCCCGCUGAACAUCCCGAAGAGGAGGAUGUCUGGUAUCAAAAAGAAAAACUGUUCAAGGAUCAUAUUCAAGAGGUCUUGAACAAAUGGGAAUCCAUUGAUGAUGAGAUUUGGGCCAAAAUCAUUGUCUUGGAGCGGAACCGCAGGGUGGCCAAAGCCUACGCACGUGCUCCUGUUCUCACAGUCAACGGAUCGGACGACGGUUUUGAUGGGUUUCGCAUCGGACUCUCCGGGUUUGAGAAUCCAAUGCGAGACCCGAAAACCGAUGAAGUCAAACGACAUAUUGGGCAGGGCUGUAAGAUCAAAAUGGACGACUCUGGGAAUAUUCUAAUCAAGCGCAUUGCCAAAUCCAAUGUCUACAUCAAGUCCACUCUGAACACGCCAGAGGACACUGCGAUUGCCAAUGACAUCCUGAAACUACCCAAUGGUGGACUAGAGGCCGAGAAGCCAGUCAAAUUGUUUGAUAUGAAAAAAUUCCAACAGAAUGUUAGCAGAGAGCUGAAGCGUGGCUAUCCAGAUCGACGCAAACUUGAAUGCCAGUGCAUCAGCGCUGUGGCCUUUGUCAAGAAUGAGGCAGACAUCCUCGAGGCUCCUUGUUGGAUCAUGCUCAUCAAUGUCGUGGCCAUGGAUAUGCUCAAGUCUAAAAUGCCACCAGUUAAAAAUCCCCGUCCCGCAAUAGACAUCCGGAAUCGACCGCGCAUUCCUAUCCCGGAUGAAGACCCCUACAGCAUUGCGGGCAGUGGAUCGUCUGGGUCUUCGGGCAACGGAAACAGAGAACGCUCCAGAGAUAAGCCGCCAAAACUUCCACCCAGGGACAAUAACGCAAUAUACGGAACCACAGGGAUGCCCAGGCCUGACUAUGAACACAUGGUGGAUGAACACCGAUUCCGUCAACAGCUCGAGGCCAGAAACAAGGCCCCGAAGAAGGGUGAGAAGAGAUCUGAUGAUCCUUAUUAUUGUGGUCUCCGUGCUCGGAUUCCCAAUUUUGCCAAGACCAAGGCCCAGCGGGAUAAGGAGGCUGCCAAUUCAAUCUAUGCAAGGCUUCCAACCCAUGCCCAGCCCCAAGCUCAUCCGGGUUAUGGUCACAUCGGAAUGUAUGGUCCAGCCAGAGGCUUCUUAGAUAACGUUCCCCCAACUUCCAACAACAUGAAUAAUGGCUAUUCAUUUAGAAAUAGGCCUUUUGAGCGCAAUCCAACCACUUGGGUGCCCAAGGCACCCAUGCGAAAUGCUGUGUCUGAAUGGGAAUCCUAUUGGCAAAAGGAAAACUAAAUCACCCCCUGCGAAUUAUCUAGUUUCUCACGCAACCUCUCCCACUGCUGAGGAUUGGCAUCACCAUUCAGUUCUUGAUUAUGAGUCGGAUUACUCCCACAUUUAUGGCAGACUCCCCUUACCAACUCGAUUUCGUCACGCCCAUGGGCCCCCAGGUCGACAAAUGUACGUGAGCGAGUGGGAAUGAAGAAGUGGAUCCUGAAACCCUCAAUCUGUUUUGGAGGUCCUGUAUCCUGCUUGGCAGCCCAUUUGUAAAUAACUCUCGGUUCUUCAGUCAGUAGUUUCAUAAGAAGAUAUCAAAACCAAUCAGGAAUGCUUACCUUAGUAAUCAUGCCACUGCCCAGAGCAAGAAGAAGAAUCCUUCAAUCUCUACUCCGUUAUUACCAUCCCAGUAAAAGCAAGCCUGUCACUUUGUCUCUGAAUCAAUCCGUGGCCACUGGUCAACUCUUUGUCCUUCGAACUACAAAGAGAUGCCCAUUUGUGGCUCUUAAACACUCGAAUUGCUCAAAGUCAACCUUUAUUUUCCCUCACGACCUGUUUUCGGUGGAACUUGAUAUUCCUUGAAUCCCCUGUGAUAGUAAUCAUUCAAGACGUAGGUCGUUGUUCCCUAUCUAUUUUUUGACAGUAGCACCCUCAUCCCACAUACUGACACUCUUAAAGUAUCGUAAUUGGCCCCUCAAAUUGGAACACCCCUUCACGUUCCACGUCCAAAUUAUUGGUUACUAUAGUAUGAAUGUGUAAAUAAAUUUGUUGAAGAGUGUUAGAUGAACAAGUCGCAAUGACCAAAAUAAAGGCGAGUUAUGAUCUUGU